CUUAAGCUUCCACAUGGUAGUAAUUGAUUACAAUUAAGGAGAAAAAAAUAGAGAGGCUUUCUAGUAUCAGUUGAAUGACACAGAAUUUACUAUGGGAUUGUUUACGUACAAGACUUCAUAUACCUCAGCUAUUGGAUUUGCUGGCGGAUCGACGGGAACGCGCUAAAGUUCUGUCACGGGUUGUUGUACGAGCACACGCGUAUCGCGGACUCCUGCUCGGCAAUGUGCUCCUCGGUGUUCCCUCCACCGCAAUGUUCGGCGUUCGCCGCCUGACAGAAAGAGGGAAGAGGCAAAAGGGAAGGUGCCUCUCAUCGGUGAAACGCCCACCAGUUACAAAAUGGAGUCGGCAGAAACGCCUUCCCAAGUAAUGAAAUUCCACAUACGAGCUCGAGGCUCGACGUGCAGGGGUAGUUUCUUAAACAGGGGUGAAUCUACUCGUUUAAGUUAAUAAGGCAUAUUUUGCGAUAUGACAGAAGAAUAUUUUCACUUUUAAGAUGAAACGGAAGAUACUUGUCCAAUUGGAAAACUAGCGAAUCUGAUUAAUUCUGUUUACUUUCUGUCUUUUCUUUUUUUUUUUUCCAUAAAAAAUAAACUCUUGUCAAUAAUUUGAAACUGCAUAAACUGAAUUUUUAAAUGCGGUUAUGAAUCAGGGAUUUACCUUCAUGGGUAUAUAUGUAUACAUAUACAUAGGACACGGUUGAUGAUAAUUAAGUAUUUUUUUAUUUAUUUUAUACAUGGUAUUCAUUCGCUUUUAAAUACAAUAUGUAAUGUGCAUUAUAAAUUGCAGAAGGAGACAGCCGUUACGGCAGGGAAUCGAUGGGUUCCUCGACGAAAAUACUGUUAAACGUAGAGACGAAGUGAAACAUUCGUUGUGAAUCGAAACGCAGUGAUGCAUAUAUAUAAUUCAUUGAUAAACAGUUUAAUAUUAAUUCAAUUAAAAUAAAGACAAGUA